rnacentral:rRNA from 1 species
GACGAACGCUGGCGGCGUGCUUAACACAUGCAAGUCGAACGGAAAGACCAUGCUCUUGUGGGGUGCUCGAGUGGCGAACGGGUGAGUAACACGUGAGUAACCUGCCCUUGACUUUGGGAUAACUUCAGGAAACUGGGGCUAAUAUCGGAUAGGAGCUACUGCUGCAUGGGGGGGGUUGGAAAGAUUCGGCGGUUGGGGCUGGACUAGCGGGUUAUCAGCUGGUUGGGGGGGUAGUGGCUUACCAAGGCUUUGACGGGUAGCCGGCGUGGGAGGGUGGCCGGGCACAUUGGGACUGAGAUACGGCCCAGACUCCUACGGGCGGCAGAAGGGGGGAGUAUUGCACAAUGGGCGGAAGCCAGAUGCAGCGACGCCGGGUGCGGGAUGACCGCCUUCGGGUUGUAAACCGCUUUCGCCUGUGACGAAGCGUGAGUGACGGUAAUGGGUAAAGAAGCACCGGCUAACUACGUG